rnacentral:tRNA from 1 species
GGCAGAUUGCCCGAGCGCCAAAGGGAGCUGACUGUAAAUCAGCCGGCAUGCCUUCGAAGGUUCGAAUCCUUCAUCUGCCA